GCCAUGGUAGUGUAAUGGAUCAGCGGGGCAGACCGGAUGUCUGUAAGUGCGGGUUCCAGUCCCGCCUGAGGUU
rfam:Dictyocaulus viviparus strain HannoverDv2000 D_viviparus-1.0_Cont16.47, whole genome shotgun sequence.